CUGGGCUCGAAAUGUAGUGGACCGGAGUAGAAAUAUUCCUUCUCAGCAAUGGGCCGCUAUAUAGGUGCUGCAUGGCUGUCGUCAGUUCGUGUCGUGAGAUGUUGGGUUAAGUCCCGCAACGAGCGCAACCCUUAUCUUCAGUUGCUACCAUUUAGUUGAGCACUCUGACGAAACCGCCUCGGAUAACGGGGAGGAAGGUGGGGAUGACGUCAAGUCAUCAUGGCCUUUAUGGCCAGGGCUACACACGUGCUACAAUGGCAAGUACAGAGGGAAGCCAACCGGCGACGGGGAGCUAAUCCCAGAAAACUUGUCUUAGUCCGGAUUGGAGUCUGCAACUCGACUCCAUGAAGUUGGAAUCGCUAGUAAUCGCAGAUCAGCAUUGCUGCGGUGAAUACGUUCCC
rnacentral:rRNA from 1 species